rnacentral:lncRNA from 1 species
GGUGCGAUCUCAACUCACUGCAACCUCUACCUCCUGGGUUCAAGCAAUUCUCCUGCCUCAGCCUCCCAAGUAGCUGGGAUUACAGGUCACUGGAGUUUGCCCCAUGAAAAAGGAAUUGUGGAUCUGAAGCCUAAAUAACUUCAGCAAUCCACAUGCUUUUUCAUUUACACAACGAAAGGCCCAAGACCCUACUUUUACAGAUGCAGCAAGGUGGAUGCCAAAACAAUGGGACUGUUCUAGGAUGCAUCUCCUCUCCCAAGUGGGAGUCCUUUCAGAGCCCAUCCGAAAUGUGGAAGUGAGCUGAGGUUUAUUUCAUCCAGGUGAUAGAGCUAUUGACAGAGUCUUGCUCUAGAUGUCUCCAAGACUGGAGUGCAACGGCAUGAUCGUAGCUCACUGCAACCUCAAACUCCUGGGGUCAAGCAAUCCUCCCACAUGUUAGGAUCCUGAAAGUUAUCGCCUCCAGCACUAAAGGUCAGAGAGGUGAAGAAAAAGGGAGGCAGAAAAGAUCAUACUGAAUCCAAAAGGAAACAGGAACAGAG